UUAUCCAUUUUGGGUGGACACGGAUGCGGGUCAUGAGGAAGAGGAAGAUGGAUGUGGGGGUCUGCGGGGGAGUUCUUGGUGCCGGAGGCGAUUAGGUGAAGGAGCUUCUAUGGCGAUGUUAUCAUGGUCAAGUGGAGGUAGGGGUGUCCAGGAGGGAGGACCCCGCAGUUCUCAUGGAAUCAGUUGCUGUCAUCUUGGAUCUGUUUGUUUGGAAUGAAUUGGUUUCGUAGUUUUUAGAUGAUGUACCUUUGCAAUCGAACAAUUGCAGUGAGGUAGCUCCCUUGGUGCAGCGAUGGUCGUCCAGGAGGCACGAUCCUGCAAUACGAAAGGUAUUAGUUUGAUUUUGUCUUGAAAUUGUUAGUUGGUUUCAAUGGGAUUUUUGCAGCUAAGAUAAUGUACGUUUGGAGUGGAUACUCUUGCAGUGCUAUUCAGUUCUUCAAUUUCCUGAUGUGUUGCCAUGGUUGAA